rnacentral:rRNA from 1 species
UACGGAGGAUGCAAGCGUUAUCCGGAAUGAUUGGGCGUAAAGCGUCCGCAGGUGGCAGUUCAAGUCUGCUGUCAAAGACCGGGGCUUAACUUCGGAAAGGCAGUGGAAACUGAACAGCUAGAGUAUGGUAGGGGCAGAGGGAAUUCCUGGUGUAGCGGUGAAAUGCGCAGAUAUCAGGAGGAACACCGAUGGCGAAGGCAGCUCGCUGGGACGGUACUGACGCUGAGGCGCGAAAGCGUGGGGAGCAAACAGG